UGCGUAGGCGGAUUAAUAAGUCAGUGGUGAAAACCUGCAGCUUAACUGUAGAACUGCCAUUGAUACUGUUAGUCUUGAGUACGGUCAAGGUAGGCGGAAUGUGUAGUGUAGCGGUGAAAUGCUUAGAUAUUACACAGAACACCGAUUGCGAAGGCAGCUUACUGGACCAUUACUGACGCUGAGGCACGAAAGCGUGGGGAGCGAACAGGAUUAGAUACCCUGGUAGUCC
rnacentral:rRNA from 1 species